GUGCACGCUGGCGGUAGGCCUAACCCCUGCAAGUCGCACGGCAGCACAGUAAGAGCUUGCUCUUACGGGUGGCGAGUGGCGGACGGGUGAGGAAUACAUCGGAAUCUACUUUUUCGUGGGGGAUAACGUAGGGAAACUUACGCUAAUACCGCAUACGACCUACGGGUGAAAGCAGGGGAUCUUCGGACCUUGCGCGAUUGAAUGAGCCGAUGUCGGAUUAGCUAGUUGGCGGGGUAAAGGCCCACCAAGGCGACGAUCCGUAGCUGGUCUGAGAGGAUGAUCCGCCACACUGGAACUGAGACACGGUCCAAACUCCUACGGGGGGCAGCAGGGGGGAAUUUUGGACAAGGGGCGCAAGCCUGAUCCAGCCAUACCGGGGGGGUGAAGAAGGCCUUCGGGUUGUAAAGCCCUUUUGUUGGGAAAGAAAAGCAGCAGGUUAAUCCCCCGCUGUUCUGACGGUACCAAAAGAAUAAGCACCGGCUAACUUCGU
rnacentral:rRNA from 1 species